CCCAAACUGGGAUUAGAUACCCCACUAUGCCUAGCCUUAAACACAAAUAGUUAUGUAAACAAAACUAUUCGCCAGAGUACUACCGGCAAUAGCUUAAAACUCAAAGGACUUGGCGGUGCUUUAUACCCUUCUAGAGGAGCCUGUUCUAUAAUCGAUAAACCCCGAUAAACCUCACCAUUCCUUGCUACUACAGUCUAUAUACCGCCAUCUUCAGCAAACCCUAAAAAGGUACAAAAGUAAGCACAAUCAUAAUACAUAAAAACGUUAGGUCAAGGUGUAACCUAUGGAACGGAAAGAAAUGGGCUACAUUUUUUAAUCUAAGAAAAUCCAACACGAAAGUUAUUAUGAAACUAAUAACCAAAGGAGGAUUUAGCAGUAAACUAAGAAUAGAGUGCUUAGUUGAAUUAGGCCAUGAAGCACGCACACACCGCCCGUCACCCUCCU
rnacentral:rRNA from 1 species